CUACAGGCUUAACACAUGCAAGUCGAGGGGCAUCAGGAAGAAAGCUUGCUUUCUUUGCUGGCGACCGGCGCACGGGUGAGUAACACGUAUCCAACCUGCCCUUUACUCGGGGAUAGCCUUUCGAAAGAAAGAUUAAUACCCGAUAGUAUAAUGAUUCCGCAUGGUUUCAUUAUUAAAGGAUUCCGGUAAAGGAUGGGGAUGCGUUCCAUUAGGUUGUUGGUGAGGUAACGGCCCACCAAGCCUUCGAUGGAUAGGGGUUCUGAGAGGAAGGUCCCCCACAUUGGAACUGAGACACGGUCCAAACUCCUACGGGAGGCAGCAGUGAGGAAUAUUGGUCAAUGGGCGCUAGCCUGAACCAGCCAAGUAGCGUGAAGGAUGAAGGCUCUAUGGGUCGUAAACUUCUUUUAUAUAAGAAUAAAGUGCAGUAUGUAUACUGUUUUGUAUGUAUUAUAUGAAUAAGGAUCGGCUAACUCCGUGCCAGCAGCCGCGGUAAUACGGAGGAUCCGAGCGUUAUCCGGAUUUAUUGGGUUUAAAGGGAGCGUAGGUGGACUGGUAAGUCAGUUGUGAAAGUUUGCGGCUCAACCGUAAAAUUGCAGUUGAUACUGUCAGUCUUGAGUACAGUAGAGGUGGGCGGAAUUCGUGGUGUAGCGGUGAAAUGCUUAGAUAUCACGAAGAACUCCGAUUGCGAAGGCAGCUCACUGGACUGCAACUGACACUGAUGCUCGAAAGUGUGGGUAUCAAACAGGAUUAGAUACCCUGGUAGUCCACACAGUAAACGAUGAAUACUCGCUGUUUGCGAUAUACAGUAAGCGGCCAAGCGAAAGCAUUAAGUAUUCCACCUGGGGAGUACGCCGGCAACGGUGAAACUCAAAGGAAUUGACGGGGGCCCGCACAAGCGGAGGAACAUGUGGUUUAAUUCGAUGAUACGCGAGGAACCUUACCCGGGCUUAAAUUGCAGUGGAAUGAUGUGGAAACAUGUCAGUGAGCAAUCACCGCUGUGAAGGUGCUGCAUGGUUGUCGUCAGCUCGUGCCGUGAGGUGUCGGCUUAAGUGCCAUAACGAGCGCAACCCUUAUCUUUAGUUACUAACAGGUUAUGCUGAGGACUCUAGAGAGACUGCCGUCGUAAGAUGUGAGGAAGGUGGGGAUGACGUCAAAUCAGCACGGCCCUUACGUCCGGGGCUACACACGUGUUACAAUGGGGGGUACAGAAGGCAGCUAGCGGGUGACCGUAUGCUAAUCCCAAAAGCCUCUCUCAGUUCGGAUCGAAGUCCGCAACCCGACUUCGUGAAGCUGGAUUCGCUAGUAAUCGCGCAUCAGCCACGGCGCGGUGAAUACGUUCCCGGGCCUUGUACACACCGCCCGUCAAGCCAUGGGAGCCGGGGGUACCUGAAGUACGUAACCGCAAGGAUCGUCCUAGGGUAAAACUGGUGACUGGGGC
rnacentral:rRNA from 1 species